rnacentral:lncRNA from 1 species
AACAGCAAGCGCUCCACAAAUUAAGAGUGUUCAAUAGAAACAUGCCAUUCUAUGCCGUCUUCCACAAUGUAAAUGACCCACAAACAUUAAACGUUAAACAUAGCAUCAAAGGAAUUUGAGAAACUGUAACUUAGCUAUAAAUUAAUCUCAGAAUGUCCAAACUCGUUGGCCUUCAGGGCUCUAUUUUCGUGAUUCCCAAAUUUCCAACCUCGGAUCCCGACGGCCUGUUGGACCCCUUUGGGGGAAGACUUACAUACGUCUUGCGGUACCAGCUUCAUGCUCUGUUAUUCAGAUUCCCACCCUCAAGUAAAAAUUCCAAAA